rnacentral:rRNA from 1 species
GUAGGGUGCGAGCGUUGCCCGGAUUUAUUGGGCGUAAAGGGCGCGUAGGCGGCUCGGCACGUCCGUUGUGAAAUCGCCCGGCUCAACUGGGCGGGGUCGGCGGAUACGGCCGAGCUGGAGCAAGCUAGGGGGUAAUGGAAUUCCCGGUGUAGUGGUGGAAUGCGUAGAUAUCGGGAGGAACACCAGUGGCGAAGGCGGUUACCUGGAGCUUUGCUGACGCUGAUGCGCGAAAGCGUGGGGAGCGAUCCGGAUUAGAUACCCGGGUAGUCCACGCCGUAAACGAUGCGGACUAGGUGUCGGGGGUAUCGACCCCCUCGGCGCCGCAGCUAACGCAUUAAGUCCGCCGCCUGGGGACUACGGCCGCAAGGCUA